rnacentral:rRNA from 1 species
UACGGAGGGGGCAAGCGUUGUUCGGAAUUACUGGGCGUAAAGGGCGCGCAGGCGGCUGCUCAAGUCAGGCGUGAAAGGCCUGGGCUCAACCCGGGAAUUGCGCUUGAGACUGGGCUGGCUUGAGUGCGGGAGAGGAUGGUGGAAUUCCUGGUGUAGCGGUGAAAUGCGCAGAUAUCAGGAGGAACACCGGUGGCGAAGGCGGAUCUCUGGGCAGUAACUGACGCUGAGGAGCGAAAGCGUGGGGAGCGAACAGG